rfam:Nicotiana attenuata strain TT chromosome 8, whole genome shotgun sequence.
CACGUCAUUAAAAUGCAAUGCACGCGUGCACACACACACACUCUUGAUUCUAUGGGUGGUGGUGCAUGGCCGUUCUUAGUUGGUGGAGCGAUUUGUCUAAUUAAUUCCGUUAACGAACGAGACCUCAGCCUGCUAACUAGCUAUGCGGAGGUAUCCCUUCGCGGCCAGCUUCUUAGAGGGACUACGGCCUUUUAGGCCGCGGAAAUUUGAGGCAAUAACAGGUCUGUGAUGCCCUUAGAUGUUCUG